GUGCAACUACCACUCUCCCCUUGGUAGCCUGUGGACAUUUUUCUUUUCUCCUUCAGGGUCAGGAGGAAAUGCCUCUGGGGUGGAGUGUGAAUUCCUCAAAUGGUGGUCAACAUUUCUUGUGGAAAUAGACCCAAUGAUUCUCAACCAUGGCUUCUCCAAGUAAGGGAACAGACCCAGGGCCUCAUGUUUGAAGGCAAGUAUUCUACCACUGA